rnacentral:lncRNA from 1 species
UUUUGUCAUUGCUUUUCAAACAAAAAUCUACAGUAUAGAAGAGUCAUCUAUAAAGGUAUGGGAUGACUUUGACAUGCAUCUAUCAUUAUGUGUCUAUAAUUACAAAACAUGUCUUCAAUGGUUAAAAAGUGUUUUGUUCUAAGUCGUGAACAUUACAAUGAUAUAUCUCAUUCGUUGUGCACUGUACCACAAGUAUAUGUCAACCAGUUGCAUAAUAAGAAGUUCUCAGAAAAAUGUUCCUCCUACAUUGUAUAGUAGUUAACUUGAAUUUUCAUUCAUUCAAAGUCUAUAAAUAUACCAAACUUAUAAAGGAAAAGAUAAAAAAUAUAAACCGAUCUACCCGUUCAAGAACUAAAUUAUUCGAUCUUGUCAUUCAGCUUUUGUACAUUCCUGGACGUUUUCCAACAAUUCAUUU